GCACAAUGUUGCCCAUAUUAAUCCUUUUUGAUAGACACUUGAGUCAGAUUUUCUAUUUUUAUAUUUGAUGAUAAGAUUUAGUUCUCUGUUAGCUGUAAUUCUUCAAGGGAUUAUAGAAUAGACUAAUUUAAUUAGUCCUUUGCUCGUUUCUUUUCUUCACAACUAUAUUUUAAUUCCAUUAUUGCCUCCAUGUUAGGCAAAGGUUUAGUUCCUCUCUCCUCUUUGUGACAUAGUCCUUUCUUUCUUCCCAUUUCCUCGAGUUCUUAUGGGCUAAGAGAGGGAAAUAAAUUCAGCAGAAUGCAGCAAAUAAUAUAAUGGAUGAAGUAAUCAAUUGAUCUUUCCCCAUUAUCGAAUCGUUUCUGAUUUUGUAGUGGGACGAAGGAAAUAUGGAGAAGAAAAGUGCUAUAUUGAUGAACAGGUAUGAGCUAGGGCGAUUGCUUGGACAAGGGACUUUCGCCAAGGUAUACCAUGCGCGAAAUCUCCAGUCUGGCCAAAAUGUUGCCAUCAAGAUUAUCGAUAAAGAGAAGGUCCUAAGGGGUGGUUUGAUAGAUCAAAUCAAGAGAGAAAUCUCUGUUAUGAGGCUUGUUAGACAUCCCAAUAUUGUUCAGCUCUAUGAGGUCAUGGCAAGCAAGACCAAGAUCUAUUUUGCCAUGGAAUACGUGACAGGUGGUGAGCUUUUCAGCAAGGUUGCCAAGGGGAAGCUCAAGGAAGACGUUGCUAGAAAGUAUUUCCAACAAUUGAUUGGAGCAGUUGAUUUUUGCCAUAGCCGAGGUGUCUAUCAUCGAGAUAUCAAGCCUGAAAAUCUCCUCCUUGAUGAAAAUGGUAAUCUGAAGAUUUCUGAUUUUGGAUUGACUGCUUUGUGGGAUUCAAGAAAGCAAGAUGGGCUUCUCCAUACAGCUUGUGGAACUCCUGCUUAUGUUGCUCCAGAAGUCAUUACCAAGAACGGCUAUGAUGGGGCUAAGUCUGAUAUAUGGUCUUGUGGGGUUGUUCUGUUCGUUCUUUUGGCUGGCUAUCUUCCAUUUAAUGACCCAAAUCUCAUGGAACUUUACAGGAAGAUCAUCAAAGGAGAAUUCAAGUGCCCUAACUGGAUUAACUCAGAGGCUCGGAAGCUUCUUUCGAGGAUUCUUCACCCCAAUCCUAGCUCAAGAAUCUCCAUUGAUAAGAUAAUGAGCAAUUCUUGGUUUAAGAAGGGUUACAAACAGAUUGAAACCCCACCAUCACCGCAAGGUCAAGCCAGAUGCACGUUGCUUAAGGAUGUUCAUGAAGCCUUCGACUCAUCGUUACCAUCAGAAGGCGUAAACAAUUCACAGAAAGAAGUAGCAGAAGAUGCAAGAAGCCCUGUGAAACCAACUAAUUACAAUGCCUUUAAUAUAAUCUCCCUGUCAAAAGGAUUUGAUUUAUCAGGCUUGUUUGAGAAAGAUAGUAAUCAACGGCUAGAGGCAAGAUUCACCAGCAAAGAACCAGCAUCAACGAUCGUGUCGAAAUUCCAAGAGAUAGCAAUGAUGGAGAGCUUCAAUUUUAACAAGAAAGAUGGAACAGUGAAGUUGCAGGGAUGCAAGGAAGGAAGAAAGGGGCAACUUGAAAUAGAUGCAGAAAUAUUUGAAGUUACACCAUCUUUUUUUGUGGUUGAGUUGAAUAAAGCAUCAGGAGAUACGUUGGAGUAUAAGAAUUUCUGUAACCAGGAAUUAAGACGUUCUCUUAAAGAUAUAGUUUGGGCAUGGCAAGGGAAUGAGCAGCAGCAAGUAUAACCUAUUAGCCACCCUUAAUUUGGGUCUUUUCUUUGGAUUGGAUAUGAUUUUUCUAUAAUUACCUCUAUCUGAAAUGAGUAUAUGUUUGUACUUUGCUGCUUCAGAACUUUCGCCUUUUCAGUUUUUGUUCUUCUCUUUUCCCUUUCAUUUGUUCUUUGAGACUAACAAUUUUAAUGCAAAUGGAUGAAAGUUUCACCAACCA
rnacentral:misc_RNA from 1 species